rnacentral:rRNA from 1 species
AUUGAACGCUGGCGGCAUGCCUUACACAUGCAAGUCGAACGGUAACGGGCCUUCGGGUGCCGACGAGUGGCGAACGGGUGAGUAAUACAUCGGAACGUGCCCGAUCGUGGGGGAUAACGAGGCGAAAGCUUUGCUAAUACCGCAUACGAUCUACGGAUGAAAGCAGGGGACCGCAAGGCCUUGCGCGGACGGAGCGGCCGAUGGCAGAUUAGGUAGUUGGUGGGAUAAAAGCUUACCAAGCCGACGAUCUGUAGCUGGUCUGAGAGGAUGAUCAGCCACACUGGGACUGAGACACGGCCCAGACUCCUACGGGAGGCAGCAGUGGGGAAUUUUGGACAAUGGGCGCAAGCCUGAUCCAGCCAUGCCGCGUGCAGGAUGAAGGCCUUCGGGUUGUAAACUGCUUUUGUACGGAACAAAAAGCCUUCUUUUAAUACAGGAGGGUCAUGACGGUACCGUAAGAAUAAGCACCGGCUAACUACGUG